rnacentral:rRNA from 1 species
GCAACGAGCGCAACCCUCGACCUUAGUUGCCAGCAUUCAGUUGGGCACUCUAAGGUGACUGCCGGCUAAAAGUCGGAGGAAGGUGGGGAUGACGUCAAAUCAUCAUGCCCCUUAUGACCUGGGCUACACACGUGCUACAAUGGGCGGUACAAAGGGUCGCGAACCCGCGAGGGGGAGCCAAUCCCAAAAAGCCGCUCUCAGUUCGGAUUGCAGGCUGCAACUCGCCUGCAUGAAGCCGGAAUCGCUAGUAAUCGCGGAUCAGCAUGCCGCGGUGAAUACGUUCCCGGGCCUU